rnacentral:rRNA from 1 species
GACGAACGCUGGCGGCGUGCCUAAUACAUGCAAGUAGAACGCUGAAGAGAGGAGCUUACUCUUCUUGGAUGAGUUGCGAACGGGUGAGUAACGCGUAGGUAACCUGCCUUGUAGCGGGGGAUAUCUAUUGGAAACGAUAGCUAAUACCGCAUAACAAUGGAUGACACAUGUCAUUUAUUUGAAAGGGGCAAUUGCUCCACUACAAGAUGGACCUGCGUUGUAUUAGCUAGUAGGUGAGGUAAUGGCUCACCUAGGCGACGAUACAUAGCCGACCUGAGAGGGUGAUCGGCCACACUGGGACUGAGACACGGCCCAGACUCCUACGGGAGGCAGCAGUAGGGAAUCUUCGGCAAUGGGGGCAACCCUGACCGAGCAACGCCGCGUGAGUGAAGAAGGUUUUCGGAUCGUAAAGCUCGGUUGUAAGUCAAGAACGGGUGUGAGAGUGGAAAGUUCACACUGUGACGGUAGCUUACCAGAAAGGGACGGCUAACUACGUG